rnacentral:rRNA from 1 species
GAUGAACGCUGGCGGCAUGCCUAAUACAUGCAAGUCGAGCGCAGCGGGGACGGGUGAGUAUAACGUGUAUAACCUCCUCUAAGACUGGGGUAACUUCGGGAAACCGGAGGUAAACCCGAUCCUUAUCGAUGGAUCCGCUCUCCAUUAGCUAGUUGGUAAGGUAACGGCUUACAAAGUCAACGAUGCAUAGCCGACCUGAGAGGGUGAGCGGAAACACUGGAACUGAGACACGGUCCAGACUCCUACGGGAGGCAGCAGUAGGGAAUGGUCGGCAAUGGGCGAAAGCCUGAUGGAGUAAUGCCGCGUGUGUGAUGAAGGUCUGCGGGUCGGAAAAUUAUGUUAGCAGGGAAGCGGGAUCUAAACAGAAAGCCACGGCUAACUACGUGCGAGCAGCCGCGGUAAUAC